AUUGAACGCUGGCGGCAGGCCUAACACAUGCAAGUCGAGCGAGCGGCGGACGGGUGAGUAAUGUAUGGGAAACUGCCUGAUGGAGGGGGAUAACUACUGGAAACGGUAGCUAAUACCGCAUACUAUCAGAUGUGCCCAGAUGGGAUUAGCUAGUAGGUUGGGUAACGGCUCACCUAGGCGACGAUCCCUAGCUGGUCUGAGAGGAUGAUCAGCCACACUGGAACUGAGACACGGGCCAGAAUCCUACGGGAGGCAGCAGUGGGGAAUAUUGCACAAUGGGCGCAAGCCUGAUGCAGCCAUGCCGCGUGUGUGAAGAAGGCCUUCGGGUUGUAAAGCACUUUCAGCGGGGAGGCGUUACCCGCAGAAGAAGCACCGGCUAACUCCGUGCCAGCAGCCGCGGUAAUAC
rnacentral:rRNA from 1 species